CCUACGGGUGGCAGCAGUGAGGAAUAUUGGUCAAUGGACGCGAGUCUGAACCAGCCAAGUAGCGUGAAGGAUGACUGCCCUAUGGGUUGUAAACUUCUUUUAUAUGGGAAUAAAAUCGUCCACGUGUGUCUUUUUGUAUGUAUCUUAUGAAUAAGGAUCGGCUAACUCCGUGCCAGCAGCCGCGGUAAUACGGAGGAUCCGAGCGUUAUCCGGAUUUAUUGGGUUUAAAGGGAGCGUAGGUGGAUUGUUAAGUCAGUUGUGAAAGUUUGCGGCUCAACCGUGAAAUUGCAGUUGAAACUGGCAGGCUAGAGUGCAGUUGAGGUAGGCGGAAUUCGUGGUGUAGCGGUGAAAUGCUUAGAUAUCACGAAGAACUCCGAUUGCGAAGGCAGCUUACUAAACUGCGACUGACGUUGAGGCUCGAAAGUGUGGGUAGCAAACAGGAUUAGAUACCCGUGUAGUC
rnacentral:rRNA from 1 species